rnacentral:lncRNA from 1 species
UUCUAAUAUUCUGACAAGAGUCAAACUAGCAAUCGUGAAGAUGGAGAAUUCAUGCAACUCCAUCUUACUUCAACCCUCAGGUUUGUCUUUUCCCAUCCUUAAUCACAUGUAUUUUUUCGAGAUUGAUUAAUCACAUGUAUGUGUUUCUACAAUCUUGAUCAUGCAUGAAUAGAAUUACUAGACGGAAGAUGUUUGAAGUGCAAACUAAUAUAAUGUUUAGGUUCAGAUUUGGUGAGAAAGUGAGAACAUGAACACAUCAGAGAUCAGACUCUAUGCUGUGUAGCCAAUCGCUUUUUUCAUGUAAUUAUAUUAAGAAAAGAGAAACCAUAGCAUGCAAUGCCUACCAACCAUCUGCUAAUAAGCACCUUCCAGAGCUCCUGUGAAUGUCUACUCUCAGCACACGGUCGCACUGUCAUUGGGGCAGUCCUACAGUUUAUAGAUGGGGGCAUGGGGCAUAAUUGCCCACUUAAUACUAUAGAAAUAAAUUAAGAUUCCAGUUACUAAUAUUUUGUGCAUUAUAUCAUAAAGCAUAGACAUCAGGUUUCAGUUUGACUCAUGCAUGAACAGAUUCCCUAUAGCUUCACUACACACAUACUGCCACCACUGCGUACACCUCAGUACCCACGACUGGUCGAUCAGGUGUCCACGAAGUACACAACGGGGAGCUCUCAGAUUAACCUUAGGUUUCAAACUUCAUUCCUGCAUCUAACGCCCAGUUCUGGUUGCUCGAGAUCACAGCCCGCACCUUGGCCCCCAGCCUGCGUGGAGGAAUAGAGCACUCUUGAUCUAGAAUUUCUUCCUGCGGUUGUGGGCCUUGUGGCAGCAGAAUUUCAGUAUUUUCCGAUUGUUGUUGGAUCUUACAGUUGUAGUCCUUGAGCUCUAUCCAAAGGUGUUUACAUAUAUGUAUGCAUGCAUUUUGAUACCUAAUCAGAAUAGGUUUUUAGAAUUAAUUCAUAGUUUGUUAACGAAAUUGGUAUACCAUUGCAGCCAUCUAAUUGGUGGUAUGGUGUGCUUCUGAUGGAAUUUCACGGCGUUUGUACCAGCAGCAUAGUAAAAAACUCCCAUCAACACGGCUUAUUUAUCGUUUCUGGAGGGCCUCACAGAUGAGCUAUUCAUCGGCGGCACCCUGCCAGUCAUUUAGAGGAUCUGCGGGAACAAAUAAACAAGC